rnacentral:ncRNA from 1 species
CGGAACCUUGUCGAUGAGAUAUCCCUUUGCGUUAUGCGUUGUUGUUGCGGGUUGUGAUGUGUUCUUUGCCUCUUCUCGAGCGAGAGCUGAUACAUGCAAUAGCAUUGACGUUAUGCAGGUCUGCAGAGCAAGGACAGGUGGUGUUGAUUCGAAGAUGUAUAGGUACAUCUGAUCUGAGUUCGUUCGGGGCGCGGACGCCCUCGGCAGGCCUCUGACCGUCCGGCACGCGCUUAACGACCAGCUUAGAACUGGUACGGACAAGGGGAAUCUGACUGUCUAGUUAAAACAUAGUGUUGCGAUGACCAGAAAGUGGUGUUGAUGUAAUGUGAUUUCUGCCUAGUGCUCUGAAUGUUAAAGUGAAGAAAUUUAACCAAGUGCGGGUAAACAGCAGGAGUAACUAUGACUCUUAAGGUACGGAGUACCUAGCUAUGUAUCUAUCUACUAUCUACUAUCUAGUGAAACUACAGCCAGGGGAACGGGCUUAG